AGGACGAACGCUGGCGGCGUGCUUAACACAUGCAAGUGGAGCGACGAACCAGGGCUUGCCCUGGGGCAGAGCCGCGAACGGGUGAGUAACACGUGGGUUACCUGCCUCGAUGACCGGGACAACCCGAGGAAACUCGGGCUAAUACCGGAUGUGCCCGCAAGGGGAAAGGAAGCUUCGGCCUCCGCAUCGAGAUGGGCCCGCGGCCCAUUAGCUUGUUGGUGAGGUAACGGCUCACCAAGGCUUCGAUGGGUAGCUGGUCUGAGAGGACGAUCAGCCACACUGGGACUGAGACACGGCCCAGACUCCUACGGGAGGCAGCAGUGGGGAAUCUUGCGCAAUGCGCGAAAGCGUGACGCAGCAACGCCGCGUGGGGGAAGAAGGGCUUUCGGGUUGUAAACCCCUUUCAGUUGGGACGAAGCUUCGUCGGUGAAUAGCCGGCCGGAGUGACGGUACCUUCACAAGAAGCACCGGCUAACUACGCGCCAGCAGCCGCGGU
rnacentral:rRNA from 1 species